GAUUGUGGACACAUGUAGGAGGGAAAGAGCUACAAUAAUUGCAAAACAUGUAGGAUAGUAAGAAAAGCCUUACCAGUGGAUGGAAUGAACUUGGGCUGCUUUGCCCUUUGAGUAAAAAUAAGAAGGGAUAAUAUGUAAAAAAUAAAGCAUGGCUUCAUUAACUUUGGGAGGAUUUGCUUGAGGGGCAGAUUUUUAAAAAUUUAAUUGACAGGCCUGUUCAGAAAAGUCCAAACUGUAUACUUUUCUCAACAGCCCAUCUUCCCAGGCCGUACACCCUUGUUUUCUUGGCAGAGUGGGUGUUCAUACACCCAUAACUCGUCAUUAAAAUCCUUGAGCUGGAAUGUGUGGGAGCUGCCUGAGAGCAGAGCGGGGUGAAAGCGGGGUGAGUGAGGUUCAGCAGGAGUGGGUGAAGGAGCUGACACUUGUGAUGCCGUUGCAGCUGCAGAAAGCAACUCUUCUCCCCUUGAAACGGAGGAAACACAAACGUGAUACGAACCUGUGUGAGACCUGAGUGACCCACAUCCCCGGUUCCUGCUGGGGGCUGAUGCCAGCCUGGAGGAGGCAGCCCUUUGGCCAGGCCGGGGAGGCAGCUGUGAGCACCACGACCACACCCCCCACCCCCCCCCAGCAAAAGAGCCUGAGCCCCGCCAUGGCCAGCCCGGCCCUCCUGCCCCUGGCCUUGGGGCUGGUCACUGCCUUCAUCCUACGCCUUUGCUGAGCCGGUUGUCCUCGCCGCCUCCUCCUCGGACCCUCGCAGCACGGAGGACCACCAUGGGAGGCCCACCAUCGCUCCCCUGCCUGCUUCCCCCUCCCUCCGGCCUCUCAGCAAGGCCCCGCUUGAGGGCCUGCUGCGAGGCCCUGAGAAAUAAAGCGCUGGUGUAGAAGGCCGCCUAGUUUCCUCUCACGUUGGGUAAAGGGGGGGGCUGAGCCCCUGUUCUUCCCCACCUUGUGAGGCCUCUUCGGGGGCACCGGAGGCCCCGGGCCCGGGGCCCAUAGCAACAGCGCCCCCCUCCGCUCG
rnacentral:lncRNA from 1 species